UCUUUACGAAAUUUUGCCACAGAGUUCAUUCUUCUUCUACACAAUGUACUUAGAAGGAAAGAGAAGGAGAGGAGAGGGACGGAAAGA